rnacentral:pre_miRNA from 1 species
UUACUUUUUUCGUAGUCAAACUUUUUUAAGUUUGACUAAAUUUAUAAAAAAAUAUAGCAAUAUUUUCAACACAAAAUAAACAUAUUAUCUAAAUAUAUUCAAUGUUACAUUUAAUGAAACUAAUUUGGUUUUGUAGAUGUUGCUAAUUUUUUCUAUAAACUUAGUCAAACCGAAAGAAGUUUGAUUAGGAAAAAAGUCAA